UUCACCAGCUCCAUUGCCCUUCUAUGGACAUACUGCAGCUCAGUGUCUUUCGUGUAGUGAGGGUCCCAGAACUGAACGCAGGAUUUGGGGUGCCCCCUCACCAGUGCCAAGCACCGAGGGACAGUCACUGCCCUGGUCCUGCUGGCCACAUUGUUUCUGAUCUGGAUGCCACUUGCCUUCUUGGCCACCUGGAGCCACAGCUAGCUCAUGUUCAGCUGCCAGUCAACCGGCACCCCCAACUCCUUUUCCCCAGGGCUGCAUUCUGGCCAUGUUUGUCAGCUCUUGUUUGCAUUGUCCUAGUUUCAUUCAAGGCAUUCUUCUGCCUGGCUCAGUAACAGCUCAUCGUGUCACUGGUCUCCAACCCUUUCUGCCUAAUGCAUGGUGGGUUGCUAGGGGUGCUGCCGUCAUCCACAUUUUAGUUGAGGAUGUGAUGACCACGCAUUUUGUAUUGCUUUCCAAGAUUUGACUGGAUGACUCAGCUGAUCCUCUGGUGACUCAUUUCAGUCUCCCAUGAGCCCAGGAAGGACUAAAGAGGGAAGUGGGGCUAUUUUCAGAUAUGAAAAAUGACCAAAACCAAGGACUGUGUCCACAAAGGAGUACUGCAAACGUGGAAUUAAUUGGGCAUUCAUACUGGGUGUAAACUUGCUGCUUCCCACUGAAACUCUUUCCACAGUUGUUGUGCUUCUGCUGAAUCUAGUUUUCAGUCUCUCUCUUCUUACUUCUCAUCCAUAUGGAUGUUGGAAAGCUUUUAUUGAGUUUUGAGUACAUAAGGUCUGAUGAAAGUUCACAAGACUUUUUAGUACUAAAUUCCCCUGGCUGUUUUCUUUUGUUUUGGGGUUUUUUUUAUGGCAGUUUCCCCCUCUCAUUUGCUGAGAGUGUCACAGUUUUUCUAACAAAAACCCAAAAAGGGCCCACCACAGGCCAUUUUACCCUCUAGUCAUUCUUAUGACUAUGGCAAAACUAACAUGCCCAGUAUUCUCCUGGACCUCCUGAAGGCUCUUUUGAUUUCACCACAAGUUGUUAGUAAUAUGUUUUUUUCCUGGAACCUGUGGAAACAGUGGUAUAUUUUCUCCUUGUGAGAAAAUCAUACACAACCUAUUUUCCCAGAAACUCUUCUUUCCCCCAUUACUCAGUUUGGCCAGAUUUCCCUUACAUCGUUAGUCAAAACCCAUAGGUGUGACUGUGGACAGCUUGGCUGCAGCAUCAGCAACACAUUGGUGAUUCUGAACUCAUUGUCCCACUGCAUCUAAGCUGAAUCCUUUCAUUUCAUUGCAUAGGAAAAGGAAAGAAUUGAAUGUUCUGAGUCGAAAGCACAUGGCUGCAAAACAGUUGUAGUAGUGCCAAAAAGAUGCUUCUGAAGAGGUUGGGCAAGUGGUUGCAUGCUGCUGGAAGCGCAAAGUGACAUGUCAGUUCUUAAAUGUAGCAUCAGGAAUGAGAAGAAGGCUUGACAGCCCAUUUAGCUGGUUUGUCAUCUGUAGCCGUCUCUCCUUUCUACUGUGGAUUUUUGGUUCUGCAGGUCUGGUUUCAGCAGGACACAGCAGGUACUCAUGGUCAGCACUUGACCAGGGCUUAAGGUGUGCUCUGUUGCCUGGGUUUCUGCAGGGUGCUGUGCAGGCUCUUGAAAGCGCUGAGUGAUCUGGAGCAAAGUUACACCAAGGGAGUGUUUAUUGUCCAGGCUGGACAGGGCUGGCUGUGGGGUCCCCACUGCAGAAGGCAUUUGGCCUGUGUCAUACUGGAUCUCCAUGUUUAGCUUCACUCCCCUUCUGUCAUGGUCUAAUUUUGACAGCGCAAGAAGCCCAGCAGCCAUGGUGUUAAGCACUGCAGAGCUGAGUAAAUACAUAUGUCAAUAAAUAAUCAUAUCCUGCGCAAAAGAGAAACCUGGGGGAGAGACUGAUGGUAGCCAGGGAGUUCUACUGGUACAGGUGGAGAUUUUUAUUGUUUUGUUUCUGUUAAUGACUUCCCUUGGAGUGAUUUCUUUUCUUCUAGAGCUUUGAGGGGGAGUAGGCUGUUAGUGCUGUCCCUGAGUUUCUUCAUCACCCACAAGGGCCUUAUAUCCUCCUUUCUCAAGUAGAUAGCCUUUCCUGAGCUUCUGGAUGUUUACUCUUCAAGGCUCUGAAAUCCUUCAUGUAGUUUAUCCUCAUGCUUAAAUCAGGGGGUUUUUCUGUGUAAGCAAGAGCUUUGUACAUCACCUAGGCUGUUCUUCCUUGGCCAAACAGGCCUCUUCUCUGUACGCUGAUCUGGCCUCUGUCCUAUUAGACCUUGCUUAGAAAUGAAGCUGAUGUGAAGACAGUGGGAGAUCAGGCAUGCACCAGCCCCAGCAAUCCAGCCAGCAGUGGGGCAGGCAGGUGUCCAGAGGCACUUCUGUGGGAUUGCUUGGGGUAGCAUCACUCAUUUCCUUGGAGAUUAUCAGAUUAAUUGCCUUCGUGGGUCAUCUGGCCAUGCAAGUGUUUACAUGUCUAUGUGUGCCUGACUGUGACCAUGUGUUUUGUGUGACAGAGGUCAGUACAACCCCAAAUACAGCAAACAGAGUCACUGGUUCCUACAGAUAAACCUUUCAAUACACUGUGUUCUCAUGGAGGCUGCAGCAGCUCGCUAUAGCUGUGUCUCAUAUGAGAGCCACUCACCAGUCUCAAAGGUGAAUGGACCAAGAGAGACAGGUGUUUUGGGGAGAAAUGAGUCCACAUCCCAAUCCUGCACCCUGUGUCUCCAUGGUGAUUUUUGCUUUGGGCCAGCUGGCUCAGUCCUACCAUGCCUGUUCUGGUCCCAGCUCACAGCCCAUUUCACAUCAUGCGUUUCUGGGUUUAUAGCCCUACUUUGGAAUGCAAACCAAAAGCCAUAGGUGACAGCAAGAAUAGGUUUCUGACUGUUUGGCCAUAAUUUUGGGGAUGUUUUCUUGGUCCUAAAGUCUGGAAGACAUGGUGAAAAAUGCUCAAGGUGUUUCCUUGAGGAACUGAAGGCUUUUGUCUGUGCAGGUCAGGUGUGAUGAUGGGAAGGCAGGUUAUUUACAGAAUUUUUGCAACUCCGUAAACUGGAGGUCAGGUGAUCAACUUGCACUAUCCUUUCUCUUCAAUUCCUAAAAUGCCUCACACGCUCAAUGUUUGAGAGUACUAUAGGUCCUGUGUUUGGUCAUUCCUACUUGAAGGUGGUAUGUGGCUGUCAGGAGAUCAACAAAUCAGUGUGUCUCAAUUUUCUGUUUUGGCAGAGCCCUGUGCCCAGCUUCUCCACCUUUCUCCUUGCAUCUUCAUCUUCCUUUGCAGGACAGAUCCUGUGUAUUUCAUCCAGACCUCACCAGGGGCUUGUUUCUCUCCGACAGGUCUGUAUCCUGAUGGAAAUGCAAUGAAGGAAGGGGCUUUGUGAAUAGGCAAACUGAUGUUUUCAGCCCAGCUAGAGCUUGGGCUAAGUUUCAGAUUUUGUAAACAAAGCAGGGGCUAAAUGUCGUUCAGUGGCCUCUUCACAAAUAAAACAGUUAGGAAAAAAUCCUGUGAGAGGCUCAGCCAGAGACUCCAGUGAACCUUGCCCAUGUCUUACCUUCACAAGUAGUGCUGUUUCUAACAAGUAAGGUAUGUGAGGUGCCAGGCAUUCCCUGUGGUUUCAUCACACUUACAUGCCAGUUGGAGUCAUUGACAUUACAAAGUUAAUAUUUACAGGUGGAAAGUCAUCCAGGUGGGGAGACAGCCAUCAUGGAAAAAGCCAAAAUAUCCUUUCCACUAGGCAGUUGUGGGAAGCCACAGAUGUGCCACUGCUGUGUGUGAGAGGGGGGCACAACCAGAGCAGCAAAGGAAAACUGAUUUGUUUUGGUUCUGUUUUGAGAGGCCUUGGUACCCUUUCCCAGGAACUAAGAUAAGGGAGGGCCAGGUAGGACAGCCACUGAAGUCUGGGGUCAGGAAGGUUAAAAAAGUCCUCUCUUUCCGCUGUAGGAUGGGGUACUGUGGUCAACCCCUGUUUGGAAGAUGAACAGCAGUGACUUGAGUCAUGCUGCCUCGAAAGCAAAACCAUGCCAAGGUCAUCCUUCUUUCAGUUCUGCUUUUGAGGUGUAACUCUGUUAGCAGGUAGCAAUCGGAGGUGGAGCUUGUUGGAAUCUAGAGGCUCCUGCCUUACAGACCUGUUGGGAGGUUAAAUGUAAGGAUCCAGACAUUAGGCUGGACUACAAGGCAAGCUAUGGCCAGUUUCAUGUUUACUGCAGAGACUAUCUUGUUUAGUUCUACAGAGGGAGCUUUGGGUGCUGCAGAAAUGCCGUGGUUACUGUUUGUUCCACUUUGUGAUGGUGGAGGACAGAUGGGAAGGAGGAAGGUGCCCAGAACACAUGCGAUUUUGCCAAACAGUCCUACCUGGCACAUUGAUCAGCACUGAGGUAUCCUGAAGAGAAGUUUUGCACUAUUCCAACUGUGCUGAGUUUUCCCAUAAGAAGUAUCUAGGGGCUAUCUUUCAGUUCAGGGGAGCACGGACUGGACUGCUGGACCUUCUCACAGCAAGACCUAAAAUUUGUGUCAGGUCCAGUUACUGUAGCGUCUACAGGGAAGUGACAGAGCAGCCCCUGGUGAGUACAUUCCAGUGGGAGAUGGAGGUGACCCUGAAAGAAUCUUGUACUGAAGUGUAAUAAAGUGUUCAAAUGUAAAUGUAUUUAUUUGUCCCUGAGAUUUUGCUUCAUGUGCCUAAAACCACGGAUAUGUCAGAAGAGCCCACAGCUUGUUAUUCAGGUUCAUCUGCCCCUGAGCCCACUGCAAAAGGAUUAAUAAGAAUUGUAAUACUUCUAUAUUACAGCUAAGAAAGCUUUCAGUAGCCAGCAGAUAAUUUGCCCUGGAUUUAAGGAGUUAAAGGGAGAGUGAGGAAGGGAAUAAAGAUGGUUUGUGAGAAAAAACAGCAGUAUCCUGAGCCACAUGCCAAAAUAACCUGAUCAGGCCGUGAUAGGGAGUAACUGCCUACAACACCUCCAUGCUCAAGAGUACUAAGUAGGUCCUGGUUGAUAAUUUAAUCAUACCUAUAAAGGAAAGUCAUGUGCAGAAUGAAACAGGAGGCAGGGUUGUUGAUGCUAUAAAUGCAGGAGAGGGAUAUAUAGGAGGGCAGUUGGGGUGUCAGGGAGAUAAGGGAUUUGAAGAUGAUGAUGAUGACAAAGCCCUGGCCAUGGCACUGGAGGGAUAUGCUUUUUGGGUGGGGAUAAGAGGGAAGGAGAUGGAUGCUUAGCUUUGUCCAUUUGUCUUUGUUUAUGGUUACUCUGUGCAUUGGGAAGUCUUGCUUUUUCAAUUGGCCAUAAGACAUGGAUCAAACUUGGCAGGUUGGAGCCAUGUGAAUCCAGGUCUGGAGCAGUGCAGGAGAUGUGCUCUGUCACAUCUUACAUCUUUGGGAACUGCUGUGUACUACAUUUAGAAAACUACUAAUUACCUGAGAUGGUUUUACUAGCAGGACAGGAAAAGCAGAACAGGAAGGCAGGGAAAUUUUCACCUGGAACAAAGGCCCCCUUGACAUCUUAGGCUCACCAGGAACAGGAAGGAGCUGAGGCUGUUGAGGUCUGAGCUUGGCUUUGAGGUUGUGUCCAAAUAUUUGGUAGCACAAGGGAAAGAAUUUGUGUAGCCUCCAGGGACAUAAAUUUUCAGGAGGUUCUGAGAGUGCAGUGGUGCUGGGGUCAAUGCCUCAAAAGGAGCCACACAGAGGCCACUGUGAAGAAGAGUGCUAUGCUUGAGACAUGGCUAUUUUGAAGGUACAAUGCAUUAGCCAUACCUGUCAGAUCCCCUUUUCAUCGCCUUCUCAGCCUGGGCAUGUAUAUGGGUUUGCAGGCUUGUGCCUCUCUGGGGAGAAGUGGAAGAUACUUAUUUCAGUAUUGUGUUGCGAGCAUCAUUUAUAUGCUGAACACACGCCAUGUGCUUUCUACAGUAUUUUUCAAGCAGGCACUGGCGUUCUGGCAGCAGCCAGGAAGCAGCCUCUGGUUACAGAGCACUGGCAGCUCUGCAGGUACUGCAGAAGCUCUGACUUCCUUCUUAAUACAGGGCACCGCCUUGGUCUCCUGCCACCUCAAAGGCCACACUUAAAAAUCAGCAGUAAGUGCUGGGAGUAAACCAGAAAAAAAACAUCAGAGACUUUCAGACUCCGUCUUUAGUCCCCAAAGUGUAUUUUUUGCCCUUUGGGGUAACGUGGGUGGAUAAGGAACUUUACCUCAUUUGCUUUCCUGAAACCUGUUAGAAGUACAAGUGAGGCGGCUGCGUGAUUUAUGUGUGCAUGCAGAAGAGGGCCAUCUGAAUUGUAAAUAGCACCUGCUAAAUUAUUAUUAAGUGAAAGCUGACGUGGGAGGAGUUCUCAGGAACAAAAAACCUCAAGUCUUUAAAUAAAAGUCAUUCCAGCUGUUUUAACACUGUCCCCUGGCUGCACCCUACCUACUUCAGCUCAUGUAGAUGCUAUGAGGAGUUAUGUGAGUCAUAUCAAGGACAGGGAAGGCCCCAUUAAAUCCAGGUACUAUCAGUUUUGUGAGAGCUUUAAAUGACUACACUAAACUCAUUAUUAAAGAAAGGAACUAUCAAUUUUAUUUAAUGCAUGGUGCCCAACCCUGAUUCUGCUCCCAGCCCAGAGAUUUGUUUGUUCGGGGGUGAUAUAAAACUUAGACUUACACUCUUCAGGACAUGUAUUCAGCUGUUGUGGCGUCCUGGCUUCAUCCUGGCUGGCUAAUAGAGGUCUGCCUUGCACCCAUGCCAGGGCAGGGACCAGCUCAGUUGGAAUUGCCACUUGGCUUAGCCCAGCCAAAGUUUUAGGUGGUGUAGGUAGGGCUGCUGAGCUGGGCUUCAGGUGACCAGGAAUACUCAGUGGGUGAAGCUGCUCAUGCCAAGUAUCCUCACUCCCUCUACUCCUUGCAGAGUGCAAACAGAUGAGAAACCAGGUACCAGCCUUGGGCAUUCCAUGCAAAAUGCAAAAAGGUGACUGCUAGGAUCUUCCUGCAGAGAAGGGAAGUGAUAUGAGGCCCAGACUUGCACAGGAGGUUUCUUGUCAGACCUGUGAAUGGGGGUUUAAGAUAACUUUUCCCAAGUGAAAUAUCCCAUUUUCCAUCCCUCUGCAGCUUAUGGCCCCUCUGUCUUUCCAAGACCCCAGGUGCAAGAAUGCUCCCCGGGGGCAUUCCCACUGUCUCUGAGACACUGGUGCAUUGGGCUUGGCUGGUGUGGAUCACCCCAUUACUGCUGGCUUGUUUCCUCAUGGAUGUUGUGGCAAGCUGUUGUCAGCCUGUGUAAUCAAAAAGCUGAAGGUGUAAAUCAUAUUACAGGCUGUAAUGAGGAAUUUGAUUCCUGUAACAAAACCAUCCAACUUUUAUUCACAUUUAUUACUAUUCCUGCUAUUGCCAUGGAGCAAAAAUCCUUUUUGAAAGAAACAACAUGCCACCAGCACAGUUUUAUUGUGUCCUCAGGAAAUUUAGGAUUGUGUUUUUCUCACAUUAACUGCACAGGAAAAUUUGUAAUAAAAAUUACUUCUCUGCAGAAGACACCUUUUUCCAUCACCAAGCUGUCAAUCAGCCUGUAAUUUCUUGGUAUUGGACUAUGCUGAAGAACUCACUGAGUUAUUUUCCUUACAAUGCAUGCCCUUGAAACCUCAGACAUGAGAAAAUAAUUUUGGAUGUAAGGAAGAAGAUUUCAUAGUUAUUUUUUUCAGACAAAAAGAAAAAACCUUUUCUGUGAUGAGAUGUAACCUCUGAGGAGGGCAACACUGGCAGCAGAAGAGUCCAAAGUCCUUGCUUUAUCCACACAAGCACUGCUUCCUUCAUCCCCUCUAUUUUUGGGGUGAAUCAGUGUUUAUCCCAUGUUUCUGUCCUCUGCUGAGGCUGCCAGCAGUGUUUCAGGGACAGCAAGGGGCUGGUUGUUGAUGUGGAAACCAGUCCCUAACAACAACUCGUUUCACCAAAGGGCACAGGCAGCCAUCUGACAUUGACAAUGUUGAGUGACUGCUGACCUUGUUUUUAGCGUCAGCUGAUAUCAAGUGGAGCCCUGCCAGUUUGCACCAGUUGAAAGCCUGUCCCUUAAUGGUGGCGAUUAUCCUGAUUUUUACAGUGGCGCUGAGAAAGUUGCAGCUGCCGUGCUUCACAUCCUUGACUUUAAUUUGCUGUGCCUCAGUCUUUUGGUGUUAUCUUUAGAGGAGAGUGCGAGAAGAACGUCUCUCCUUGUUCUGCGUCAGUCGUUUUUUUCCCUUUUCAUUUUCUACGAAGAGAGAUUGCUCAAGCACACUGUGGAAUGAAAGCCAUAAAACUAUAAAUUAUACCUCUGCUAGGUCCACAAUAUGUUGCCAAUUACAUCUGCCAUAUUAUUUGCGUCCAGGGGGAAAACAUACAUCAAACCACCCCCUCUCUCCAGGCAGGUCAGUACUGUACUAGAAGGAACACUGUGAUUCUUCUUAAUCUGUGGAAAAACAAACACGGUUUUGGCUCACUCACACACGAUCUUUGUGUCCAGGAUGACAAGUUGAGUAGCACUGCUGUGGUUCUCCGAGCUUGCUGCCGUCGUGACAGCAUCAUUGCCCUGGGGAAAGGAGAGAGGAGAGAAGGUAGUUCUCUAGUACCUUCUAGCAAGGAGUCUGAGUAUCCAGUUACAGGGACCAUGGAAAUUGCUGCCCAGGAGGAUGGGGGAGCAGGGGGUAAUGGAGUUAGAAGGAACAACAGCAAACAAUCAUAAAUCUAUUUAGAGACAGGGGUCAUGUCUGCAGAGGGCAGCAUGCUGUGAUUUGCAGGGCUUCGUUGCUAGACUGGGACCAGUGGGGUUUUGUGUACCAUGUUCAACCCUAGGUGAGGGUUUCCACCUGUGUCCUGAAGGGGUUUUCUUCUGCAUCUGCUCUGUCCUCAGAAAUUAAUCAUUGUGGAAGGGGUGAAGGCAGGGGUGUUGAAGCAAAGUGGAGACAUUGCUUGGCCUGUUACCUCUGAGUAGUUUUGGCUCACCACAGCACCCCUCUCCUGAGCCACUCCUGGCCUUUGGGCUGCUGGGAAUUAAGUGGAAAAAGAGUGCUGGGUGAGUGCUGGGUGUGUUUAGAUCUACUAACUUGACUACUGAGCUUUGUGAGUACAGAGUGACAUUCACGUUUUUCUAUAUGAGUAAGUUUAUGCAUGCAUGUGUGUGAAUGUGUUUGUGUACACAUGAGCUCCAGAAAAUCUUCUGAAGAGGAACGUGGACUAGUGAAGUGUGAGGAGGCCAAGUCAGAUACUUUCACGUCUCCACAUGAAGAAGUUGUCCAUGUGCACUGCAGAGUUUGUUGUGGUUUUGUUACUGAAGCAUUCAUUCAGCUUUUAACUUUUUUAAGUUGAAAACAAGUCAAGGUUAUGUUUGUGCUUAAUAAUUCAACAAUGGUGCCAGCUCAGCAUAUUGUCUUUUUCUUCCCUAGUCAUUCUGGUUUAUUAAAAAGAAACACUGAUGACAGAUAGAAGGGUGAAGGAGGCUGUGCCUUUCUGCUCUAACUCCUGCCGGGUGCUGAUUCCUUCCCUAGAAGUCCCCACGGAUUUGUGUUCUUCACAAAAUGUUUGCCCCAGCAGUACUAUCCCCACCCUGGGCAGGGAAAGCUUGGCAGCAAGUCAGGGCUUAGCUGUCCCCUUCUCUGUGCACCACAUCUUUUUUCUCUGAAUAGGCACAUUUUCUGUUUCAGUGGAAUAUUACUCAGAAUCCUUCAGUAAGUCUGUCUCAGUGAUGCAUUAUUUUCACUUUGGUUAUGAGGUUGUGGGGCUGUUUUUUGGUGGUCUGGGUUUUUUAAAAAAUAUUUAGAAGAUCAUUAACUCUUUUGAAGCCAAAUAAGCUUGCAUUAAAAUAGGUUUUUGUCUUUCCUGUAAAAAUAAAGCUAUAUUAGGAGCUAAUUCUGCCACAUGCUAAUGUGUAUGUUGCUUCAUAAACAAUGCUGUUCAUUUCCAGGGGAUCUGCUUCCUGGUGAUGGUAUUGUCACAGUGAAUGAGAAUAGAUGAACACAAUUUUAUAAAUCUGGGAGCACUGAGAGCACACAGUGAAGCUCAUGUUGUGUAACUCCCAUCUCCAGUGUCCCUGAGCACAGACUAGCAUUGUGCACAAUUCCCACUCACAGACUUGGCAAGCAGUCUGAAACAUCAUCUUCUUCUGUUCUGGCUCCUCAACUUUAUCUAUGCACCUCCAUUUGCUCACAGUGUACCAUCUCCUGGUCCCAUCUUCUCUCUGUGCAGGCCAGAAGCUACACAGUGGUUUUAUGGGCAUACAGUGGAGGGCUUAAGUCAGAUCCACUAAACUGCUUACGAUUGGAUGAGCCUGAGGAUUUGAGAUUUAGCUUCUGUAGUCAGAAUACUUUGCAGUAUUUGACAUGAGUUCUUCCAGAGAGCUAGAUAUAUUCCUAGAGACAAUGGGAAUAGGAGUCUCUUUAGGCAGAGGAGGUAAAAAUAACAUGUACAUUCCUGUUAUUAAAAAUUGAAACGGGGAGAGCAAGAGAGCAGAAAUCUUGUUGUUAGUAUAGUUCCACCUGGGGUAAGGAUUUAUUUUAGAGCA